rnacentral:rRNA from 1 species
GACAGAGGUGCCGAGCGUUAGGCGGAAUCACUGGGCUUAAAGCGUGUGUAGGCGGGAUGGUAAGUACUUUGUGAAAUCCCACGGCUCAACCGUGGAACUGCUUGGUAUACUGCGGGUCUUGAGCCACCUAGGGGCAAGUGGAACAAACGGUGGAGCGGUGAAAUGCGUAGAUAUCGUUUGGAACGCCAAUGGUGAAAACAACUUGCUGGGGGUGUGCUGACGCUGAGACACGAAAGCCAGGGGAGCAAACGGG